GAGCCUAUUAUUGAACUGUGGAAUGGGAUUGUGGGAUGGUUCUCUCGCCUCUCCCCACCCCAGGGUGACCCUCACACCCUGCCUGAGGAGCCAAGAUUGGGCUGAAUCACUGGAUGGGCGUCUCAAGCUUCUAAGCGCUUAGCACACAUUCCUUCCACUCACCUGGCUGGAGGUGGACUCCCUUUGGAGGAUCAGGCAGCCGGAGGAAUCCAUGCCUCUCAUAUGCUGAGUGGAAAAGAUUCCGGUCAAAGGAGGGACGAAGCUUUGCAAGUUGGAAGUGAUUCACCUAACCACCAGAAAUCCUGCAUCACAUUGAUGUUGACGGACAAUUGCAACUCUAGGG
rnacentral:lncRNA from 1 species